AACGAACGCUGGCGGCAGGCCUAACACAUGCAAGUCGAACGCACCUUCGGGUGAGUGGCAGACGGGUGAGUAACGCGUUGGGAACCUGCCCUGUGGUACGGAAUAACUCUGGGAAACCGGAGCUAAUACCGUAUAAGCCCUACGGGGGAAAGAUUUAUCGCCAUAGGAUGGGCCCGCGUCAGAUUAGCUAGUUGGUAGGGUAAUGGCCUACCAAGGCUACGAUCUGUAGCUGGUCUGAGAGGAUGAUCAGCCACACUGGGACUGAGACACGGCCCAGACUCCUACGGGAGGCAGCAGUGGGGAAUCUUGGACAAUGGGCGAAAGCCUGAUCCAGCCAUGCCGCGUGAGUGAAGAAGGCCCUAGGGUUGUAAAGCUCUUUCAGCGGGGAAGAUAAUGACGGUACCCGCAGAAGAAGCCCCGGCUAACUUCGUGCCAGCAGCCGCGGUAAUACGAAGGGGGCUAGCGUUGUUCGGAAUUACUGGGCGUUAAGCGCGCGUAGGCUGACUGGUCAGUCAGGGGGUGAAAUCCCGGGGCUUAACCUCGGAAACUGCCUUUGAUACUGCCAGUCUAGAGUCCGGCAGAGGUGAGUGGAAUUCCUAGUGUAGAGGUGAAAUUCGUAGAUAUUAGGAAGAACACCAGUGGCGAAAGGCGGGUCACUGGGCCGAGACUGACGCUGAGGCGCGA
rnacentral:rRNA from 1 species